rnacentral:lncRNA from 1 species
GGAUCUAGUCUGUGGCUACAUGUCUAGAAUGAAAAUAAUGUCAGAAGUAUGGUUCUCUACAUAAUUUUAUCUUAACAUCUGACUAUCUAAUAAUUAGCCUGAUUAUCUAACAAUCUAAAUCAGUUGUCAUGAUAUUGAAAAUAUCAAACUUUCUACCUUCCAGUUAAUUUCCUUAUCUACAUUUUCAUAGAAUACCAAGAUUCUUUUUUAAUGAAAAAGAAAGAUGGGGGACUAUUAUCUCCUAGCCCCUGAAUUCUGGAGUCUUCUAAUGAUUAUUUUUACCAAGUAAAUAAAUCCAAGAGUCAACGAAAUGUGGUUUACUGCUAUGCUUCCUGGAAUUUCUUGCAGAAUUAUAGCAUCUCAGAGUUGGAAGGAAUUCUUCAUAUGACCACACUGAAUUCUUUUCCUGUCGGUCUGCAUCACAUUUGUGAAGACAAGUGGCCUGCGUGGCCCAGCGUCCUGAGCCCAGAGAGAACAGCAGGCCCUCGGUCUGUACCAGAUGGUUUUGUAAACCAAAAGCAAUCACUGCAAGUGCACUGGUUUAAGGGGAAUGUCCAAGAAAAUUGCCUUCCUUCUCUUCGGAACGUAUCAUUACAGAAAAAUAGAAGGCCCUGCAUUCCAAUCUGAUGUGCAUUUAACUCUGCAAGCCUGUAAAUUCCGCCAUGAGGUAAGGGGCUGAUUCGGAGCUCCAGAAUCCUUUUGGUGCCACAGAAAGGAUUUUAAAAUGGAUACCCUUGGGGUUUCUCAGUGUUAUUCUGCAAGGGUCGUGUAAUAGAUGGGGCUCUGUCUGAUGAGCUGUCCCAGCCCUGGUAAACAAGACCAGGAUGCCUGGUAGCCCACAGAGCCACCUUGUAUUUUAAAGGUUAGGAGGUGACAUCUUGCGGGUUUGAGCUUGGUUUCAAGUGUGCACGUAUCUUGGUUGGAGAAGCAAUAACAUUACCCUGAUGGAGUCUGGCCUACCCCCAGCAAAGGUCUGGCUAUAAUUAAUUAAAGAAAUACUUCCUGUGGAAUGCUUUACCUUGUAGAUCCUGAACAAAGGAUCCACAUUCCAGGAGGCACAGGAAAGCGUUAUUCUCAAGCUUCCUGUCCCCUGCGGUGUAUAGAGACUUGAAUGCCACCACGUAGACUAGAGAUCAUAAUUGACACAUUCUUUAAAUUUUCCUAUACCUGUAGCCCCAGGCCUCCUUUCCCCUCUUUAUUUUCUUUUCUCCUGAUCUUCCGGGGAGGUGAUAAUUAACAGAUUUAAAGGCGUGCUCCUCGCACCAAGGACACAUUGGGAAGAGACCCCACUGGAAGAAAAAUAACCUGUAUUAGAGCCUAUAAUUGUAGUGAUCUAUUCGCUUCAUAACAGCUUGUUUUUCUAUAGCAUUUUACUGUUUGUUUUACUUUUUAGGGCUGCACCUGCAACAUGUGGAAGUUCCCAGGCUAGGGGUGGAGUCAGAGAUGCAGCCGCAGGCCUAUACCAUGGCCACAGCAAAGUCAGAUCCUUAACUCACAGAGCAAGGCCAAGGAUCAAGCCUGUAUCCUCAUGGGUACCAGUCGGGUUUAUAACCUGCGGAGCCACAGCAGGAAUUCCAACAUUUCACUGUGUAUAAAUCACUUCACAUAUAUGAUUUUUUUUGUAUUC